AGUGAACGUCCAUUGAUGUCACCAAACACACACGUGUGAUGGCACUAGUGAACAUCCAUUGAUGUCACCAAACACACAAGUGAUGGCACAGGUGAAAGUCCAAGGAUGUCAACCAAUACACUAGUGAUGGCAAAGGUGAAAGUCCAAGGAUGUCAGCCAAUACACAAGUGAUGGCACAACUGAACAGCUGUAAUUGUCUCUUGGCUAAUUUCUAUCCAUCUUCAAUGGAAAACUAUAAAAAAUUUGUUACGUAUAUAAAUAUUAACAUUUCUCUUUAUAAUAAUAAUGAUAAUAUUAGUGCUACCACUACUAAUACAUCUUUAUUAUCUCCUUCCCUUCAAGCCCUUGGUCUCUCUCUCUUUUACUCACUAGAUGUGCUCAACUUGAACAUAGUCUAAAUAUAGGCUCCUACUUGAGGCAAGGUCAUUGUUGACUCAUGCGUUGGAUACUGUCAAGAGAUUUUCCCGAAAGCAAAGGGAAAUCCCGAUAUUUCCGUCUAUAAGAAGUCUGUGGUCCGACCUGUUAUUAUUAUUUGUGCAAGCUGUGUCUCAUUUAAUUUAGCGCUCCUCAAGACAUCAUAUUAAUUAUUAUACUAUUGUUUCUAACAAAUAAAAGUAUAUUUUGAUCUAGACGAUCUGCCCUUUGACCCAAUUCGUUAUAUUAUCUCUGAUGAUAAGACGAUUGGAAAAAUAAUCAUACAAUUGUAUUCAAUUCAAAUUAUAUUGAGGAAAUCCAACUUUUACAAUCAAGAGAAUACACGUUCAUAUAAGAUACUAAGACUCGUCUUCUUAUCAUUCUUGGGAAGAAUGCUUUCUCAUUCAAUGAUGAAAUACGUAUGUUUGGACAUGUACUUAGUGGCUGCUGUUUGCGAAAGUACUCUCCUGUACAGAGAGUUCAUAGAAAGAACAUGUGGCAAGGGAGAGUAUUACAAUUCGUCAAAAGAAAGUUGCUUGCCUUGUCCCCAAAACACAUUCAAUCCACUCCAAGCCCAUCAACUUCCUCACUGCACGCCAUGUCGGGAUGUCCGCGGUGAGCUGCAGGUCCUUCUGAGAAACUGCACACCAACAUCCGACGCUGUUGUGGGAUGCAAGACGGGCUACCAUGCAUCUGUCGCAGACAAUGCAUCAGUGGACAUCGUAUGCCGCCCGUGCAACCGCUGCGACCAGUCACAGGAUACCGGCUGUGUGAAAGAUGCUGCAACACUCUGCAUUGAGUCUGUAGAAAAGAUUCUCAUCCUCUGCAUCGUUUUGCCCGUUGGGUUAGUUUUAGUUGCCCUCCUGUUCUAUUUGAGACACACUCAAGUACUUUAUGACAGUGGACAAUGUAGAAGGCCAUACUAUCGACGAAACUCUAGUCAAUUUCUUAAUGAAAUUUAAAAUAUUUGGCAUUUGAAAAUUCCAACUUUCAUUAAGCAAAAAUAUCAAAACUUCCUACGCAAGAUUAUGUGAUCUAGCUCUGGACUAUAUUGACGGCAGUCUAAAGUCCAAAAAAUUGUCGAUUGGGCAGUCUCUAUUUAAACGUAAUAUCUUGAAUUGAUAUAACUAUUUCUAUUGGACCGUAUAGUCGACCGUCUUUCUCCAUCUCUCUCUGCAAAUCUCUUUCAGGGACCGGUCCUUCCAUUCCUUGUUGUUUUUCAAUAAUUUCUUUUGACUGCUUAUCCUUUUUUUUCUGGCACUGUUCCCCGAGAAAUGACGUGGCGAGCAUUGAGUAUCUGGUGAUAUGACAGUUCUUGGCGAGCAUUGAGGAUCUGGUAAUACGACAGUUCUUGGCGAGCAUUGAGAAUCUGGUGAUAUGACAGUUCUUGGCGAGCAUUGAGGAUCUGGUGAUAUGACAGAACAGUCUCAAUGCAUACUCUCCAGCUUUUGUAAAUUUAUUAUUAUCUUAUAAAAGAUUUUAAUGUUCAGAAUGUAAUAUGAACGUUCAUAAAAAAAAACAGACAUAUUUUACUAGACAAUAGUUUUGCAUUGUGAUAUUCACAUAUUAUUAUUGUUCAAUCUUCGGACUCGAAGACUAGCCUUAUUAUUAUUAUUGUUCAAAAUGGCAUAUGAAAUCAUUUCAGAGAUGUGAAAGUAAAAUUAAAGCAUAAAAUUGUCUGUUAUACUUAAAUAAAGUAUAGUAAUGGUU
rnacentral:sRNA from 1 species